GAUGAACGCUAGCGGCAGGCUUAACACAUGCAAGUCGAGGGGUAUAGUUCUUCGGAGCUAGAGACCGGCGCACGGGUGCGUAACGCGUAUGCAAUCUACCUUUUGCAGAGGGAUAGCCCAGAGAAAUUUGGAUUAAUACCUCAUGGUAUGUGAGAAUGGCAUCAUUUUCACAUUAAAGUCACAACGGCAAAAGAUGAGCAUGCGUCCCAUUAGCUAGUUGGUUAGGUAACGGCUUACCAAGGCAACGAUGGGUAGGGGUCCUGAGAGGGAGAUCCCCCACACUGGUACUGAGACACGGACCAGACUCCUACGGGAGGCAGCAGUGAGGAAUAUUGGACAAUGGGCGCAAGCCUGAUCCAGCCAUGCCGCGUGCAGGAUGACGGUCCUAUGGAUUGUAAACUGCUUUUGUACAGGAAGAAACACUGGUUCGUGAACCAGCUUGACGGUACUGUAAGAAUAAGGAUCGGCUAACUCCGUGCCAGCAGCCGCUGUAAUAC
rnacentral:rRNA from 1 species